UGGCCAAGGAUGAAAAUUCUAAUCUGAUUUGCUAUGCUUCUGCUCUGAUGGGUUAAAGGAUUUACCUGAGGCCA
rnacentral:snoRNA from 12 species